UACCCAAUAGUUAAUGACAGGAUGCAGUG
rnacentral:piRNA from 1 species